ensembl:lncRNA
AUGAGUUACUACAUUUUUAUUAAAGAGCUGGACGGAACAACAAGAGCAGUAAGUGUGGAUUCAGAGGAGGAACUGAAGAACAUGACUGUUGAAGAGUUCAUAAGAAGAUUCAAUCCCGAAGACAAAUGGGACUUCAGAUUUAUCUUCGAGGGCAGACAGCUGGAGGAUGGUCGUACACUUGGUUCUUAUGGCAUAAAUGACUGUUCUACUAUUCAUGCAGUUCAGUGUCUACGUGGUGGAGACCCAAGCUGUGCACCUGAAGAUGGAGAUGAAGGAAUGCCCAGGACUGAAUCAAUGGAAGUAUUAGCUGAAAUGCAGAAAUGCCAAAAAAUAAAUGAAUAACUUCCCUUCAGUGCAGCGUCCAUAAAGUACAAGAGGCUGAAAUCAGAACAUAAUACAUGAUAUUGAAAUUAUGGUAGUAAAUUUGAACAAAAUAUGAAAAAACAGUGUUUAAAUAAAUUAAAGUCUCCGUUCUGUCCUUUUACGCUG